ensembl:snRNA U6 U6 spliceosomal RNA
GUGCUUCUGAAUGGCAGCACAUAUACUAAAAUUGGAAUGAUACAGAAAAGAUUAGCAAGACCCC